GACGAACGCUGGCGGCGUGCUUAACACAUGCAAGUCGAACGGAAAGGCCCUGCUUUUGUGGGGUGCUCGAGUGGCGAACGGGUGAGUAACACGUGAGUAACCUGCCAUUGACUUAGGGAUAACUUCAGGAAACUGGGGCUAAUAACGGAUAGGAGCUCCUGCUGCAUGGUGGGGGGUGGAAAGUUUCGGCGGUUGGGGAUGGACUCGCGGCUUAGCAGCUUGGUGGUGGGGUAGUGGCUUACCAAGGCUGUGACGGGUAGGCGGCCUGAGAGGGUGACCGGCCACAUUGGGACUGAGAUACGGCCCAUACUCCUACGGGAGGCAGCAGUGGGGAAUAUUGCGCAAUGGGCGGAAGCCUGAUACAGCAACGCCGCGUGCGGGAUGACGGCCUUCGGGUUGUAAACCGCUUUCGCCUGUGACGAAGCGUGAGUGACGGUAAUAAGUAAAGAAGCACCGGCUAACUACGUG
rnacentral:rRNA from 1 species